UUACUUGCUCGACGAAGUGUAACGAUGAGUGCCAUCGUUACGAUAUUAUUAUAUUUAUUCCUAUAAGCCACCUAAUAAGUAUGCAACCAGUUAUGCGUUCGUGCUUAGAACGGGUUACCUAGAUUUGUGACCAAAUAUAAUAGAAGGUUGGUACUACGCUUGGGGAAUUCUGGUCUUAGCUUGUGGCUGUACGGCUUCCGACGGAGGGGCAUGUCAUAUCGCCCAUCGGAGAGGAUUGUCACUUCAAUUUUCAAUCUGGUUGGAUGAACAAGUAAAUUUUUCCGUGGUCACUGUUUAAAGAAUACAAUAUUUAGUUAAAAUAUUCAUUUAUUAUAAGAUUGGUUUAUUUUGGAAGGAGCUAUUUUUUGUUUUGGAUUUGUGCGGUGAGAGGAAGAGUUUUAUUUCCAAGUUUCCUUUUGGAAAACAGUGGCCACGGAAGAAAAUAAGAAGAUGGAAAAUUAAGUCAAUCAUACUUUAAUUUGUUUUUUGGAAUACAUAAUCAUUUUGGGGAUAUUUUGGAUGGAAUGUGGAUGUUUUGUUUGGUUUUUGUGGAAUAAAAGUUGAGUUUUCCGAUACUGGGCAGCUACCUGCUUGCCGUACCUUCCUGUUGGUGUGGAGUAC
rnacentral:lncRNA from 1 species